rnacentral:rRNA from 1 species
CGAACGUUGGCGGCGUGGAUUAGGCAUGCAAGUCGAGCGAGAAAGUCACCUUCGGGUGGUGAGUAAAGCGGCGAACGGGUGAGUAACGCGUGGGGAACCUGCCCUUGAAUGGGGGAUAACAUUCCUAACGGAGUGCUAAUACCGCAUAACACGACCGGGUCGAUGGUCUGGUCGUCAAAGGUGGCCUCUAUAUAUAAGCUGUCGUUUAAGGAUGGCCCCGCGUCCGAUUAGCUUGUUGGUGAGGUAACGGCUCACCAAGGCUACGAUCGGUAGCUGGUCUGAGAGGAUGGUCAGCCACACUGGGACUGAGAUACGGCCCAGACUCCUACGGGAGGCAGCAGUCGAGAGGCUUCGGCAAUGGGGGAAACCCUGACCGAGCGACGCCGCGUGAGGGACGAAGGCCUUCGGGUCGUAAACCUCUUUCAGUAGGGACGAACUCUUGUCGGGCUAAUACCCCGGCGACUUGACGGUACCUACAGAAGAAGCGCCGGCUAACUCC